rnacentral:rRNA from 1 species
UACAGAGGUGGCAAGCGUUGUUCGGAAUUACUGGGCGUAAAGCGCGCGUAGGCGGGUUAGAAAGUCGAUUGUGAAAGCCCUGGGCUUAACCUGGGAAUGGCAGUCGAAACUCCUAAUCUUGAAUGUCUGAGAGGAUGGCGGAAUUCCCGGUGUAGUAGUGAAAUACGUAGAUAUCGGGAAGAACACCUGAGGCGAAGGCGGCUAUCUGGCGGUACAUUGACGCUGAUGCGCGAAAGCGUGGGGAGCAAACAGG